rnacentral:rRNA from 1 species
GACGAACGCUGGCGGCGUGCUUAACACAUGCAAGUCGAACGAUGAAGCCCAGCUUGCUGGGUGGAAGAGUGGCGAACGGGUGAGUAACACGUGAGUAACCUGCCCUUAACUUCGGGAUAAGCGCUGGAAACGGCGUCUAAUACUGGAUAUGAGCAGCUCCUGCAUGGGGGUUGUUGGAAAGAUUUAUCGGUUUUGGAUGGACUCGCGGCCUAUCAGCUUGUUGGUGAGGUAAUGGCUCACCAAGGCGACGACGGGUAGCCGGCCUGAGAGGAUGACCGGCCACACUGGGACUGAGACACGGCCCAG